rnacentral:lncRNA from 1 species
GUUUGAUUUCCGGAAUUACUCAUCUAUAUAUAUAUAUAUAUAUAUAUAUAUAAUCCUUUGCAUUUUAUCAAUAAUAUUACUGUUCAUAUUGGAAUAUAUAAUACAUACAUAUACAUAUACAGAAAACAUAAUUAUGCACAUAUUUGGCAGGUUUAUUAUUAGUAUCAGAGAGUGGGAGUGAGUCUUUCUGUAUCCACAAACCAUUACACUCCGUGAAUCCAGAACUAUGUCCGAUCUAGACUCCCACAUGUGGCAACGAACAACAACAAGAACGGAAUCCAGUUACUCCUGCCACUUCGAACACUCACACAGACACAUGCACACGCACAAGCACACAGUCGCACGCUCCCACAAGCAAGCAAGCAAGCGGUGAAGAAGCAGUCCCCAUCGAAUUGAAUGCCGACGGUGGGCACUGACACAUCGCGACCUCGCAAUCUCGACGGGACCAGCGGCGCUGUUGUCAACGGGACCUGGACCCCACAAGAUCAUAGCGCCGC